rnacentral:rRNA from 1 species
CAGUAGCCGCGGUAAUACGAGGGGUGCAAGCGUUAUUCGGAUUGAUUGGGUGUAAAGGGUGCGCAGACGGCUUAUUAAGUCACUUGUUAAAUUCUUCGGCCUAACUGAAGGUCUGCAAGUGAUACUGAUGAGCUAGAGGGUGGAAGAGAGAAGUGGAAUUCUCGGAGUAGCGGUAAAAUGCGUAGAUCUCGAGAGGAACACCAAUGGCGAAGGCAGCUUCUUGGUCCAUUCCUGACGUUCAUACACGAAAGCGUGGGGAGCAAACAGGAUUAGAUACCCGGGUAGUCCCUGUCUCUUAUAC